rnacentral:tRNA from 1 species
GAGGGUGUAGCUCAGUGGUAGAGCGCAUGCUUAGCAUGCACAAGGUCCUGGGUUCAAUCCUGGGUGCCUCCA